rnacentral:rRNA from 1 species
CCUACGGGGAGCAGCAGUAGGGGAUCUUGCACAAUGGAGGGAACUCUGAUGCAGCGACGCCGCGUGAGGGAAGAAGGUUUUCGGAUUGUAAACCUCUGUCUUCGGUGACGAAACGAGACGGUAGCAGAGGAGGAAGCCACGGCUAACUACGUGCCAGCAGCCGCGGUAAUACGUAGGUGGCAAGCGUGGUCCGGAAUUACUGGGGGUACAGGGAGCGUAGGUGUGAAAUCAAGUUGAAUGUUUAAGGUACGGGCUCAACCUGUACGAGCGUUCAAAACUGUUUUUCUUGAGUGGAGUAGAGGUAAGUGGAAUUCCUAGUGUAGCGGUGAAAUGCGUAAAUAUUAGGAGGAACACCAGUGGCGAAGGCGGCUUUCUGGGCUUUAACUGACGCUGAGGCUCGAAAGCGUGGGUAGCAAACAGGAUUAGAUACCCGAGUAGUC